rnacentral:rRNA from 1 species
UACGUAGGGUGCAAGCGUUGUCCGGAAUUAUUGGGCGUAAAGAGUUCGUAGGCGGUCUGUCGCGUCCGUUGUGAAAACUCGAGGCUCAACCUCGGGCUUGCAGUGGAUACGGGCAGACUAGAGUGCGGUAGGGGAGACUGGAAUUCCUGGUGUAGCGGUGGAAUGCGCAGAUAUCAGGAGGAACACCGAUGGCGAAGGCAGGUCUCUGGGCCGCAACUGACGCUGAGGAGCGAAAGCAUGGGGAGCGAACAGG